CAGCCGCCGCGGUAAUACCGGCGGCCCGAGUGGCGGUCACUCUUAUUGGGCUUAAAGCGUCCGUAGCCGGGUUGGGAAGUCCUCCGGGAAAUCUGGCCGCUUAACGGUCAGAAUGCCGGAGGAUACUCCCAGCCUAGGGAGCGGGAGAGGCCGAGGGGAUUCCCGGGGUAGGGGUGAAAUCCUAUAAUCCCGGGAGGACCACCUGUGGCGAAGGCGCCCGGCUGGAACGCGUCCGACGGUGAGGGACGAAGGCCAGGGGAGCAAACCGGAUUAGAUACCCGGGUAGUCCUGGCUGUAAACGAUGCGGACUUUGUGUCGGACAAGCUAUGAGCUUGUCCGGUGCCGGAGGGAAACCGUUAAGUCCGCCGCCUGGGGAGUACGGCCGCAAGGCUGAAACUUAAAGGAAUUGGCGGG
rnacentral:rRNA from 1 species